GCUGCUGGCCGCCGCGCCCGCCUGGCUGGCCGCCACGGGCUGGGGCGUGGACCUGCACCUGUACGACCUCACUGAGCCAGCCGACCCCGCUGAGCCUGCUGAUCUCGCCGAGCCCGCUGAGCUCUCCGAGCCUUCUGAACUCGCCGAGCCCGCUGAACUCGCCGAGCUCGCCGAGCUCACCGAGCCUACCGAGCCCGCCAAGCCCACGGAGCAGGUUCCAUGAACAUCGGUCGGCUCUGAGAAGAUGGCGCCGGCCAGUACUUACUACCUCUGUACGAUGUACUUCCACCUCGACGGACGCACUGCGUGUCGCUGCGAUACUUGUUUAUACAUUGUUCUCUUUAUUGUUUAGUAAUUACUACCUUAGUUUAUUCAUUGUUAUACGAAUGACGCGGCUGCCCGUGGUUCGGCUACUAUUGUUUCAGUAACGGGGCGGAGUGGCCGGUCAUGUGUAGUCUAGAUAGGAUUUGUUACAUAUCUGUUAACAUUUCAUAUUCAUAUUAAGGUAUGAUCGUAAUAAGACAAAACAAGGACAAAGUGCUAUUAUUGAAAGCGCAAAUAAAGUGAGACAUCGGCCCACUACGGGAGACCGACACCUACACACAGUAAGCACAAGCAAUAAUUAAUCAAACGGAUUAAUUAUUGUUGUAGUGUAAGUGACAGAACAAAACACCUGAACAGAAUGUAUAACUAUAAAUGAAAUACUCACAAAGCAUAAAAACAUGCUCUAUUUGAUCCGGCGGCGCGCGGCGUCUAGCUGGCGGGCAAAUGGCCUAUAAUUAAUAUUAUAAGGUUUCUAACUUAAUUUAUAAACCUCAGACAGCUUCAUUGUUGUUUAUACCAAGUGGAGCAAAAGUAAUGUUAUAAUUUGAACACGACGAUAUUUUUUAAAAGAAGCUUACGCAUCUUUCCUUGUGGUCAGGCAAAUGAAACAACUCGAUCUUCAUCUAUAUGUAUAUAAAAAUGAAUCCCUUUUUCCCUUGGUCACGGCAUCACGCGUGAAUGGCUGGAACGAUUUCCCAAUUUUUUUUGUAUUUCUCACUAUUAGGAGGAGGUUCAUAAGACAGAAAAA